UCCGAAUUGGUGUAGUGGCUAACAUUACACGCUCUCAUUAUUCAACUGAAUGACAAGUGCCGUGUAGCCCGGGGUUCGAUUCCCCGAUUCGGAG